UUAAGCGACUAAGCGUACACGGUGGAUGCCCUGGCAGUCAGAGGCGAUGAAGGACGUGCUAAUCUGCGAUAAGCGUCGGUAAGGUGAUAUGAACCGUUAUAACCGGCGAUUUCCGAAUGGGGAAACCCAGUGUGUUUCGACACACUAUCAUUAACUGAAUCCAUAGGUUAAUGAGGCGAACCGGGGGAACUGAAACAUCUAAGUACCCCGAGGAAAAGAAAUCAACCGAGAUUCCCCCAGUAGCGGCGAGCGAACGGGGAGGAGCCCAGAGUCUGAAUCAGUGUGUGUGUUAGUGGAAGCGUCUGGAAAGGCGCGCGAUACAGGGUGACAGCCCCGUACACAAAAAUGCACAUACUGUGAGCUCGAUGAGUAGGGCGGGACACGUGGUAUCCUGUCUGAAUAUGGGGGGACCAUCCUCCAAGGCUAAAUACUCCUGACUGACCGAUAGUGAACCAGUACCGUGAGGGAAAGGCGAAAAGAACCCCGGCGAGGGGAGUGAAAAAGAACCUGAAACCGUGUACGUACAAGCAGUGGGAGCCUCUUUUAUGGGGUGACUGCGUACCUUUUGUAUAAUGGGUCAGCGACUUAUAUUCUGUAGCAAGGUUAACCGAAUAGGGGAGCCGAAGGGAAACCGAGUCUUAACUGGGCGUUAAGUUGCAGGGUAUAGACCCGAAACCCGGUGAUCUAGCCAUGGGCAGGUUGAAGGUUGGGUAACACUAACUGGAGGACCGAACCGACUAAUGUUGAAAAAUUAGCGGAUGACUUGUGGCUGGGGGUGAAAGGCCAAUCAAACCGGGAGAUAGCUGGUUCUCCCCGAAAGCUAUUUAGGUAGCGCCUCGUGAAUUCAUCUCCGGGGGUAGAGCACUGUUUCGGCAAGGGGGUCAUCCCGACUUACCAACCCGAUGCAAACUGCGAAUACCGGAGAAUGUUAUCACGGGAGACACACGGCGGGUGCUAACGUCCGUCGUGAAGAGGGAAACAACCCAGACCGCCAGCUAAGGUCCCAAAGUCAUGGUUAAGUGGGAAACGAUGUGGGAAGGCCCAGACAGCCAGGAUGUUGGCUUAGAAGCAGCCAUCAUUUAAAGAAAGCGUAAUAGCUCACUGGUCGAGUCGGCCUGCGCGGAAGAUGUAACGGGGCUAAACCAUGCACCGAAGCUGCGGCAGCGACGCUGAUGCGUUGUUGGGUAGGGGAGCGUUCUGUAAGCCUGUGAAGGUGUGCUGUGAGGCAUGCUGGAGGUAUCAGAAGUGCGAAUGCUGACAUAAGUAACGAUAAAGCGGGUGAAAAGCCCGCUCGCCGGAAGACCAAGGGUUCCUGUCCAACGUUAAUCGGGGCAGGGUGAGUCGACCCCUAAGGCGAGGCCGAAAGGCGUAGUCGAUGGGAAACAGGUUAAUAUUCCUGUACUUGGUGUUACUGCGAAGGGGGGACGGAGAAGGCUAUGUUGGCCGGGCGACGGUUGUCCCGGUUUAAGCGUGUAGGCUGGUUUUCCAGGCAAAUCCGGAAAAUCAAGGCUGAGGCGUGAUGACGAGGCACUACGGUGCUGAAGCAACAAAUGCCCUGCUUCCAGGAAAAGCCUCUAAGCAUCAGGUAACAUCAAAUCGUACCCCAAACCGACACAGGUGGUCAGGUAGAGAAUACCAAGGCGCUUGAGAGAACUCGGGUGAAGGAACUAGGCAAAAUGGUGCCGUAACUUCGGGAGAAGGCACGCUGAUAUGUAGGUGAAGUCCCUCGCGGAUGGAGCUGAAAUCAGUCGAAGAUACCAGCUGGCUGCAACUGUUUAUUAAAAACACAGCACUGUGCAAACACGAAAGUGGACGUAUACGGUGUGACGCCUGCCCGGUGCCGGAAGGUUAAUUGAUGGGGUCAGCGCAAGCGAAGCUCUUGAUCGAAGCCCCGGUAAACGGCGGCCGUAACUAUAACGGUCCUAAGGUAGCGAAAUUCCUUGUCGGGUAAGUUCCGACCUGCACGAAUGGCGUAAUGAUGGCCAGGCUGUCUCCACCCGAGACUCAGUGAAAUUGAACUCGCUGUGAAGAUGCAGUGUACCCGCGGCAAGACGGAAAGACCCCGUGAACCUUUACUAUAGCUUGACACUGAACAUUGAGCCUUGAUGUGUAGGAUAGGUGGGAGGCUUUGAAGUGUGGACGCCAGUCUGCAUGGAGCCGACCUUGAAAUACCACCCUUUAAUGUUUGAUGUUCUAACGUUGACCCGUAAUCCGGGUUGCGGACAGUGUCUGGUGGGUAGUUUGACUGGGGCGGUCUCCUCCUAAAGAGUAACGGAGGAGCACGAAGGUUGGCUAAUCCUGGUCGGACAUCAGGAGGUUAGUGCAAUGGCAUAAGCCAGCUUGACUGCGAGCGUGACGGCGCGAGCAGGUGCGAAAGCAGGUCAUAGUGAUCCGGUGGUUCUGAAUGGAAGGGCCAUCGCUCAACGGAUAAAAGGUACUCCGGGGAUAACAGGCUGAUACCGCCCAAGAGUUCAUAUCGACGGCGGUGUUUGGCACCUCGAUGUCGGCUCAUCACAUCCUGGGGCUGAAGUAGGUCCCAAGGGUAUGGCUGUUCGCCAUUUAAAGUGGUACGCGAGCUGGGUUUAGAACGUCGUGAGACAGUUCGGUCCCUAUCUGCCGUGGGCGCUGGAGAACUGAGGGGGGCUGCUCCUAGUACGAGAGGACCGGAGUGGACGCAUCACUGGUGUUCGGGUUGUCAUGCCAAUGGCACUGCCCGGUAGCUAAAUGCGGAAGAGAUAAGUGCUGAAAGCAUCUAAGCACGAAACUUGCCCCGAGAUGAGUUCUCCCUGACCCUUUAAGGGUCCUGAAGGAACGUUGAAGACGACGACGUUGAUAGGCCGGGUGUGUAAGCGCAGCGAUGCGUUGAGCUAACCGGUACUAAUGAACCGUGAGGCUUAACCUU
rnacentral:rRNA from 1 species